UCAGGAUGAACGCUAACGACAGGCUUAACACAUGCAAGUCGAGGGGCAGCAUAAAAGUAGCAAUACUUGGUGGCGACCGGCGCACGGGUGAGUAACGCGUAUGCAACCUACCUAUCAGAGGGGAAUAACCCGGCGAAAGUCGGACUAAUACCGCAUGAAACAGGGGCACCGCAUGGUGAUAUUUGUUAAAGAGAUUCGCUGAUAGAUGGGCAUGCGUUCCAUUAGGUAGUUGGUGAGGUAACGGCUCACCAAGCCGACGAUGGAUAGGGGAACUGAGAGGUUGGUCCCCCACACUGGUACUGAGACACGGACCAGACUCCUACGGGAGGCAGCAGUGAGGAAUAUUGGUCAAUGGGCGGGAGCCUGAACCAGCCAAGUCGCCGUGAAGGAAGAAGGAUCUAUGGUUCGUAAACUUCUUUUGCAGGGGAAUAAAGUGCAGGACGUGUCCUGUUUUGUAUGUACCCUGAGAAUAAGGAUCGGCUAACUCCGUGCCAGCAGCGGC
rnacentral:rRNA from 1 species